UACGUAGGGUGCGAGCGUUUGUCCGGAAUCACUGGGCGUAAAGGGCGCGUAGGCGGCCUGGUAAGUAGGGGGUGAAAUCCUGCCGGCUUAACCGCAGGGCUGCCUUCUAAACUGUCAGGCUCGAGCACGGUAGAGGCAGAUGGAAUUCCCGGUGUAGCGGUGGAAUGCGUAGAGAUCGGGAAGAACAUCAGUGGCGAAGGCGGUCUGCUGGGCCCGUUGCUGACGCUGAGGCGCGACAGCGGUGGGGAGCAAACAGG
rnacentral:rRNA from 1 species